rnacentral:rRNA from 1 species
UACGUAGGGGGCAAGCGUUGUCCGGAAUCAUUGGGCGUAAAGAGCGCGUAGGCGGUCCGGUAAGUCGGUUGUGAAAACUGGGGGCUCAACCCUCAGAGGCCGACCGAUACUGCCGGGCUAGAGUCCGGAAGAGGCGAGUGGAAUUCCUGGUGUAGCGGUGAAAUGCGCAGAUAUCAGGAGGAACACCAGUGGCGAAGGCAGCUCGCUGGGACGGUACUGACGCUGAGGCGCGAAAGCUAGGGGAGCAAACGGG